GUUAAUCAACAAUUAAGUAAUAAUUUAAUUAUCAGCAUCCAUAUCAUAUGUUUUACAAAAUUUAGUCUAAAUAAUUGGUCUCAUUACCCUUUCACUGAGAUAUUGGACAACGUGCUUAAAAACGAAAUAACUCGUAUAUAUAGAGUAAACCCCACAAAAAUUAAAAUAGUCGGUUUAAAUUAUUAAAAUAUACAAAAUAAACCUCAUAAAAAAUAAAUGGUGAUAUGAAUAUGCUCUUAUUGACAUACCCCAUCCCGAAGGAGGGCAUGCUGGCCGUCACGUGAGAGUGACGUAACCAUUUGCACAGUACGGAAGCUUUAAGAUACAAUUUAAGUUGAUACACCCGAAGGUGAGUCCUAAUUUUGUCCAAUCUGUCAGAACACCGUCGAAUUCCUCGUAGUCACCACACCUUUGUGAUUCCUGAACCUGGAGGGGCGCAAAACCAAAAUUGAGUGGGUCAGUAAAACAAUUCUUUUCCAAAUCCAAACAAUUUUCAAAACGUUGUAACCCCUCUCCGUAAAACCUGUAUAUUUUCCCAGAAAUGUAAAAUAUAAAUAUACAUAUAUAUUCUCAAAACUUCAAGUCGUUAACUCAACAUUUUUCAUAACAAUUAUGCCAUGCCCACAUCAUCUCAACAUUUCUCAUAUUAAUUAUGCCAUGCCACAUCAUCUCAACAGUAAUAAGGUAUGAAUGCAUCAACAUAAUCAUAUCAGGUGCAAGAAAGUAAUCAACCGUAGGCCCUCUAAUAGCCCUGUACGGUUGAACCUAGAGCUCAAAAUCUAUCAUUAUCACUCUACCGGAGUCACCUCUGUGACCCGUCCGGCCUUCUGCACACAAGUUACGCUCUAGUGCUUCUCAUAAGUCAUCUGUGCACAUAAUCUAAGGUCACCCACCAGUCGGAAUCUCACUAACACUCUCGCGACUGGUCUGUCGUACCCACUCCGCGUGGACUGUACGACUAGCAUCUACUUGGAUCCAAGGCGAGCGUGCGAUGCGGUGAAUACUAUAAGCACUAAACCAUGGUGCAGGAUUUGAGCUCAAUAUAUAUCAUCAUCAUAAUAACAGUAAUUAAAUUCUUACCUGUGCGUCCACCGCACCAAUUCAUACAUAUGCAUCAUAAAUCAAUUCUUACCUGUGCGUCCACCGCACCAAUUCAUACAUAUGCAUCAUAUAUUAAUUCAUGCAUGGCAUUUCAACUCACAUUUCUAUAUACUUUUCAUAUCAAUUCUAUGCAUGGUAUUUCACUUCCCGUUUUUCCACAUAACUCAUAUGCAUUUCAUUUUAAACAUAUUUUCAUUUCAAUUCAAUUUCUGGGAAACGUCAAGUAUAUAUAUAUACGGAAACAAACUGCCCACUCACCUGGAGUUCGCCCUACAACUCCCUAGCACAAUACGCCAAGGCGUCAUGACGAUCGCCGCCUAGAAUAGUAAUCAAAUCCAGGCUCAGAAUUCAUAUCGAUAAAAUAUAAUAACUUAUAUAAAAUACGUCACUACGUAGUUCGAUCCGGAAGAUCUGCCACUCAGAUUUUAAAUCCAUAACUUCCAGAGGUCCACAAUAUAUCUCUAGGAUAACAUCCUAAAAUUUCAUUACCAUCCAACGGUUGGAUCUCCGUCAAUUUCCAAAACUAAGUGACGGUUAACAUUUUAUAUUAUGGACUUACAAUUCCAAUUCCGGAAGAUCCGUAACUCGGAUUCCCAAUCCGUAAGUUCCAAUAAUCCUCAAAUAUUACGUAUUACAACGUAUCAAAGUUUGGUGACAAUCCAACGGUCGGAUCAUCAAUUCACAUUUUCACCAAAACUAUAAAACGUUAUUCGAACACCUAACCAACAAUCCUUAAUAACUUUCUCAUACGGUGUUCAAUUUAGGUAUAUGAAUAUACCACAGUGAUCUACUCGACGUCACGGACGUCGACAUAUUUUUAAAAUAUUUUAUUUUUAUUUUUUAUUUUACUGUAGCACCAUCUUCUUCCUUGGGUCGCCGGACUGGUUUUUCCGGCGGCCGUUUUUCCGGGCAGUUUUUUCAAAUUGCCAUAACUUUGUCAUUUCUCAACGAAAUCAAGUGAUUCAAAAACGAAAGUUGUAGCCCUUGAAGAGACAAAGAGAAUGGUACCUUGCACAACACCUAGUUCGCCGUGGUUUGGCCGGAAACUGCCUCGAAAGCCUCGGAGGUCGCCGGAAACUGGGUAUUUUUCAAAUGAGUAUAACUUCUUCAAUACUCAACGAAAUUGAGUGAAACAAAAAGGAAAGUUGUAGUACUUGACGAGACGAAGAGAUUGAUACCUACCUCGACUCUUAACUCGCCGGGGAUUCGCCGGAAAAAGCCUCGAAAGCUCCGGCCAAACUUUGAACUUGUCGAUCUCAGUGUUCUUACGUCCAAAAACUUCCCACGAAGCACUCCGAGCUUCCUUGGGACCUCACUAAGCUCACUAUAAGCUUAGAAUUCCCUGAAACACAACAUUUUACGUUCACAUGAACAGUGACCAAAAAUGGAGGUUCGGGUUUCACAUGAUUCCGAAGGUUUCACUUCCUAAAACUAGUACCAAUGAACUCAGAAUGACGAAAGGAUGAAGAUGCAUACCUUAGUUGCCUCGAUCCGUCGAGUUUUGGAGGAUUUGGGUGUAUGCCGUACGUUUUGGGUGAGAGAGAGUGAGAGAGAAAGAGGAAGUCGUGAGGGAGGAGAGAGAAUGAACUGAGAGAGAGACAAGGUACGGGAAAGAGGGAGAAAAUUGAGGGGUGUGGGAUCCUACCCAAUCCCCAACUACAAAAUUCUAACAUAAAUUUAAAUCUAAGUCUCCACUCUACUUACCAAAUUUUAGGAGCUUAGAUAUAACGAACAUAAAAAUUAUACCUUAGCCACGUAUUAGGGGCAUUUUCGUAAUUUCACAUCCUCGGAAUUAAAAAUUCCGGGACGGGCUGUGACAAUCUUCCCUCCUUAUAGAAUUUCGUCCCCGAAAUUCCAACAACCAAUCCAAACAUCUACUCAUACCAACCUCGGUAAAUCUCUCUUAUCCGAUUCUCUUUCUCCCACGUAAUUUUCUUCCACUGAAUGAUUUCCUUCACAAAGCUUUUACCACUUACUCUGUCUUAAUUCUCAAGACUUUCUUUUUCCAAUCCAAAGUCGUCCUUGGUUCCUUAUCAAUUCGAAUCCAAUUUAAUUCUCAAUAGUUGCACCAGAAUCUCAUGUGACGAAUCUGCCACCUAGUGACAACGUAUCGAACCCAAAAUACAUUAAGUACCUUAGCCAACUCUGAAGACAUCACCACUUGUAUGCAACUUUAUUGAUUCCUUUAGUGAUCAAAAAUGGUCUGAUGUGUCUAAAUCUUAUUUUGUCUCCUUUCCAACCCGAAUUAUACUUUUCUAUGGUGAACACUUCGAAAAUAUAAAACCAUUUGUCUUAUACACUCGAUUAGUGGCAUAUCCCUCUGUUAAUCUCUUUUGCCUCAAUCUGCUGACCAAAUAAAACUGUCGAAUGGUAUGAUAAAUCUUAUUACUUUUGGAAUAUUACAGAAGUUAAACAAUGUACUUCGUCCAAAAUUGCUUACUUUAAAUCCUUAGCAUUAGGCACAUACUUUUUGUUUUCUUGUAUCCACAUACCAUUUGAUUCACGAAUCAUGUACUCAUUCUUUUUCCCUUCUUUCUCUGCCUUGGUUAAUUCUUAAAUUUCCUCGUCAAACAUUUAAGUUUCGAGUACGACCUUACCAAAUAGGCCUAACUUGAAAUUUAACAAGUAUAACUUCUUCUCGAUCUUUCAUUCUUAACUUUUCUUCCAUUGGUUUUCAAUCCACAAGAUGAUACUCUUGGCAAACGUGCCAGAUAUUAAUCUUACUGUAGUCUUCUCACCAAGUGCUUCAGCUAGAACAAAUUUUACGAUCACCUUGAUCGUACAAUCAUGUUCAUUAAGCAAUACAAUUCACUUUCGCUGCCUCAUAUCAAAAUCCUUCCAAGUAAUGGAUAUUGAAGACUUUUUGGAUUCGUAAAAAUCUUGCAUUCUUACCAAAUAUAUAAUGUCUCCAUAACUUCACAGUAAGAAUGGUAAUCAUGACUUCCAAGUCACUCGUAGGGUAAUUCAUCUCAUGAGGUUCCAUUUAUCAUGAAACGUAUGCAAUCACCCUAACAUUUGCAUCAACAUGCCUCCAAUACCAUUCAAGAAACAUCACUAAAAAUUUAUGAUUACCACUAUUCUCUGGGAAUACCAAAUUACGUGCAUGAGUGAGGAAAUACUUCAGUUGUUGAAUCAUUUGCUCACAAUUUCCUUCCCACUCAUACAUAACCUCUUUUCUCAACAGUCUCGUUAAUGACAAAGCAAUGACUAAAAAUUCUUUCACAACCAUCCAAAAUAGCCUGGUAAGCUAAGAAAUUCCAAAUCUCAAUUACGACUCGUGGUUGUUCCAAAUUCUCAAUUUCUGCUAUCUUUUAAGAAUUCAUUUGAAUACCUUAAGCAGAUAUAACCAAUCUCAGAAUGCCACUUGAUUCAUCCAACAUUCGCAUUUGCUAAACUUAGCAUACAACCAACGUUCUCUCAAUCUUUGCUUCACCGACUUAAUACGUUUACAUGCUCUGCUCUGGCUCAGAAUAUGCCAGAAUAUCUUCAAUGAAAAUGAUAUCAAUUUAUCAAGGCAUUAUUGGAAUACUUCAUCCAUCAACUCAUAAAACAGCAUGAGUAUCCAUAUAGCAUCACCAAACUUCAUAAAGACUAUAACAAGUCCAGAAAACCAUCUUAUGAUCAACGUCACUUAUAAUAUUCAAUUGGUAGAACCAGAUCUCAAUUCAAUCUUUGAAUCUUCGCAAUUACUUCUGAGCUGGUUAAAUAAACAUCAGUACAUCACCAUGGAUAACGGUUCUCAAUCGUUACCCGACUCCAUUGUCUAUAAUCAAUGAACAAUCUCAAGAUCCAUUUUUCUUCCUCACCAACAAACUGGGCUCCUCAAAAGUGUUGUACUAGGUUGAAUAAAACUUUUAUCAACCAAUUCUCUCAACUGAAUUUCCAAUUCCCUUAACUCAUCCUGAACCAAUCUCCAAUAUAAAUUUAUACCUGGCAACAAAUCAAUAAUGAACCUCAUAUCUCUGCCUGAAGGCAAUCCAGGUAUACUUUCAAGGAAGACAUCAAGAAAAGUCUAACUCUUUCGACAUUAUUCACACUACUCCAAACAACAUCAUUUAGCACCACAUGAGCUAAGUAUUUUUGACAGCCUUUCGAAAACAAUCUCUUUGCUCUCACAGCAUAAAUAACAGCCUGACUCAAUCCAUUUUGCAUACUUACAAAAGUAAUCUCUGUUCAUCCAUAUCGAUGGAAAGUACUGGUUUCCCGUAACAUUCCGUCUUGUCACAAUUAUAACCAACCAAUCUAAUGGAACAGAAUUAACUGAUACAAUAUAUAUUCUAUUAUUAUUAAGCAUUCUAAAUAAGUACAAUACUAACAUAAAAUAAUCUACCGGUUUGCUUGCUUAACGAAUCCACGAAUGAGUUAUUAAUAUUACGGUCUGCAGCCCGCAAUACUGAUAAAUCAUCGUUGUCUCGAUAAGUAGGCAACCACUCUCAAAGAUAUAACAUUACUAUUUUGUUACUCAAUGCAAAAUACAUACACUCGUCUCAACUACAUUUAUUUACUACUCUCUAGGUAAUAACAUACAUAAUAAGAAAUAUAUCAGCCGAAGUCAACUAGAAUGACCAAUACGGCUGAUUCAACUCUUAUCUCAAUAAUACGUCGGCCGGAUCCACUCCGCGUGGUCGGUAUGGCUGAGCCUAUAACUCACCAUUUCUCAUGUGUCAAUCGAAUCCACUUCUCAUGGUCUGUACGACUGAACAUAUAACUCAUCAAAUCUCUCUGUACUCACAGUCAAUCCGACCAAACUACUAAAUUCAUAAACUUGUUGAAUCAACACUAUGAUAUCAUGGAAAAUUGUUGAGUACAACUGAUUCUAGGGACGAUUCACAAUUCUGUGUCCCCUCUGUUCACAUAAACACAUUCAUUAAUUUCACAUUUCCCAAAGUGUUAAUUUUUUUUUUUUUUUUUUUUUUUUUUUUUUUUUUUUUUUUUUUUUUUUUUUUUUUUUUUUUUUUGUACCUGCUGCACAAGGUACAUUUCCUUUACUCGAGACACCUUGUCUCAAAUAUCUGGGAUUACCAGUAUAUCCAUCACUUUUACUCUGACCAGCGACAUUAAAACCUCAGCUGGAAGAAUUAACUCUAGCUUCACUUCUUUCGAAGCUCUGAAUCUUUCUAUAUCCUUGAUAUGACGAAUCAUUGACUUUAUCGUCUUCUUUUGAGUCUCAUUCAUUUCUUAUUCUUCUUUAUUCUCGUUGCUCAUGUUCUCAGAGUCCUCAAGACUCAACAGCAUCUCGCAUACUCCUGAUAAGAAUUACAAUGGAUAGUGGUCACCCAAAAUACCACUUCCCUUUUGCCACCCAGCCUAAAACAACAUAACACCUCCACCAAAUUCACAACAAUAUCUGGAUAGAACGAGGCAAGUCUGAAAACUUUCUAUAAUAUCCCUCGAUCAUCACCUUCCUUGUCUCAUAUUUGUAAACUCUUGUUUACCACCAUCGAUAAAUGCCGGAGGGAUAAACUUUUCCUUUAAACAAGUCCUUAAACAAUUCUCAAUCGACUGAUUCCUAUGGUGACAACAAUUCAUACUCCUGUUUCCACCAGGAUACAAAUUCAUAACCAAAACCAGGUAGUCGUCUCGACCCCUUGUCAGAAGGAAAUUUCCUUUGACUUGCAUAAUCUGAAACAUCUUUUCCAAUUGGUUAAACCGUUACUUCGCUCCCUCAGGUUCAUCAUUUCAUAAGGUGAUUCAAAUUCAACUCAUAACCCAUCUUAAAAUGUCCCUUUUUAUAAUAGACUGAAUCACCAUAAUAAUAGUUUUCCCUAAACCGCUAUAUUAGGGAGACUAAAUUCCUCUAACUACGUGGUUUGCUACGAGGCGGUGUAGUUCUGACAGAAUUCACUAUAAACUUCUCAAGAUGUCCAAGAUUGCAACCAUGCUCUGAUACCAACUGACAUACCCCAUCCCGAAGGAGGGCAUGCUGGCCGUCACGUGAGAGUGACGUAACCAUUUGCACAGUACGGAAGCUUUAAGAUACAAUUUAAGUUGAUACACCCGAAGGUGAGUCCUAAUUUUGUCCAAUCUGUCAGAACACCGUCGAAUUCCUCGUAGUCACCACACCUUUGUGAUUCCUGAACCUGGAGGGGCGCAAAACCAAAAUUGAGUGGGUCAGUAAAACAAUUCUUUUCCAAAUCCAAACAAUUUUCAAAACGUUGUAACCCCUCUCCGUAAAACCUGUAUAUUUUCCCAGAAAUGUAAAAUAUAAAUAUACAUAUAUAUUCUCAAAACUUCAAGUCGUUAACUCAACAUUUUCAUAACAAUUAUGCCAUGCCACAUCAUCUCAACAUUUCUCAUAUUAAUUAUGCCAUGCCACAUCAUCUCAACAGUAAUAAGGUAUGAAUGCAUCAACAUAAUCAUAUCAGGUGCAAGAAAGUAAUCAACCGUAGGCCCUCUAAUAGCCCUGUACGGUUGAACCUAGAGCUCAAAAUCUAUCAUUAUCACUCUACCGGAGUCACCUCUGUGACCCGUCCGGCCUUCUGCACACAAGUUACGCUCUAGUGCUUCUCAUAAGUCAUCUGUGCACAUAAUCUAAGGUCACCCACCAGUCGGAAUCUCACUAACACUCUCGCGACUGGUCUGUCGUACCCACUCCGCGUGGACUGUACGACUAGCAUCUACUUGGAUCCAAGGCGAGCGUGCGAUGCGGUGAAUACUAUAAGCACUAAACCAUGGUGCAGGAUUUGAGCUCAAUAUAUAUCAUCAUCAUAAUAACAGUAAUUAAAUUCUUACCUGUGCGUCCACCGCACCAAUUCAUACAUAUGCAUCAUAAAUCAAUUCUUACCUGUGCGUCCACCGCACCAAUUCAUACAUAUGCAUCAUAUAUUAAUUCAUGCAUGGCAUUUCAACUCACAUUUCUAUAUACUUUUCAUAUCAAUUCUAUGCAUGGUAUUUCACUUCCCGUUUUUCCACAUAACUCAUAUGCAUUUCAUUUUAAACAUAUUUUCAUUUCAAUUCAAUUUCUGGGAAACGUCAAGUAUAUAUAUAUACGGAAAACAAAACUGCCCACUCACCUGGAGUUCGCCCUACAACUCCCUAGCACAAUACGCCAAGGCGUCAUGACGAUCGCCGCCUAGAAUAGUAAUCAAAUCCAGGCUCAGAAUUCAUAUCGAUAAAAUAUAACUUAUAUAAAAUACGUCACUACGUAGUUCGAUCCGGAAGAUCUGCCACUCAGAUUUUAAAUCCAUAACUUCCAGAGGUCCACAAUAUAUCUCUAGGAUAACAUCCUAAAAUUUCAUUACCAUCCAACGGUUGGAUCUCCGUCAAUUUCCAAAACUAAGUGACGGUUAACAUUUUAUAUUAUGGACUUACAAUUCCAAUUCCGGAAGAUCCGUAACUCGGAUUCCCAAUCCGUAAGUUCCAAUAAUCCUCAAAUAUUACGUAUUACAACGUAUCAAAGUUUGGUGACAAUCCAACGGUCGGAUCAUCAAUUCACAUUUUCACCAAAACUAUAAAACGUUAUUCGAACACCUAACCAACAAUCCUUAAUAACUUUCUCAUACGGUGUUCAAUUUAGGUAUAUGAAUAUACCACAGUGAUCUACUCGACGUCACGGACGUCGACAUAUUUUUAAAAUAUUUUUAUUUUUAUUUUUUUAUUUUACUGUAGCACCAUCUUCUUCCUUGGGUCGCCGGACUGGUUUUUCCGGCGGCCGUUUUCCGGGCAGUUUUUCAAAUUGCCAUAACUUUGUCAUUUCUCAACGAAAUCAAGUGAUUCAAAAACGAAAGUUGUAGCCCUUGAAGAGACAAAGAGAAUGGUACCUUGCACAACACCUAGUUCGCCGUGGUUUGGCCGGAAACUGCCUCGAAAGCCUCGGAGGUCGCCGGAAACUGGGUAUUUUUCAAAUGAGUAUAACUUCUUCAAUACUCAACGAAAUUGAGUGAAACAAAAAGGAAAGUUGUAGUACUUGACGAGACGAAGAGAUUGAUACCUACCUCGACUCUUAACUCGCCGGGGAUUCGCCGGAAAAAGCCUCGAAAGCUCCGGCCAAACUUUGAACUUGUCGAUCUCAGUGUUCUUACGUCCAAAAACUUCCCACGAAGCACUCCGAGCUUCCUUGGGACCUCACUAAGCUCACUAUAAGCUUAGAAUUCCCUGAAACACAACAUUUUACGUUCACAUGAACAGUGACCAAAAAUGGAGGUUCGGGUUUCACAUGAUUCCGAAGGUUUCACUUCCUAAAACUAGUACCAAUGAACUCAGAAUGACGAAAGGAUGAAGAUGCAUACCUUAGUUGCCUCGAUCCGUCGAGUUUUGGAGGAUUUGGGUGUAUGCCGUACGUUUUGGGUGAGAGAGAGUGAGAGAGAAAGAGGAAGUCGUGAGGGAGGAGAGAGAAUGAACUGAGAGAGAGACAAGGUACGGGAAAGAGGGAGAAAAUUGAGGGGUGUGGGAUCCUACCCAAUCCCCAACUACAAAAUUCUAACAUAAAUUUAAAUCUAAGUCUCCACUCUACUUACCAAAUUUUAGGAGCUUAGAUAUAACGAACAUAAAAAUUAUACCUUAGCCACGUAUUAGGGGCAUUUUCGUAAUUUCACAUCCUCGGAAUUAAAAAUUCCGGGACGGGCUGUGACACUUAUAUAUAUUACACUAAUUUUCACAAGCUUCAAAAUUAUGGUCUUU
rnacentral:lncRNA from 1 species